CGCAUCCUGUGACUUUUAAGGUUAAUUAUGAAUAUAGCAUCACACAGCACUGGCCAACCAUAUACGUUCCGGUUGGUUACCCUUUCGCCAAGAGCCCGCUGAAUUUCUCAUGUUACUUUUGGAGGAGCACAAUGGCAGAGCCAAAGUCUGCGAUGGAUGAUCUUCCUCAAGCAUGCGAGGAGUAGUGCCGAAAAUGUGGAGGAGAGAAAGAUGCUUCUGAAACCACAUUGAUCAACCACAAGACACACUGAAGUACUGGCUGAUGAUGAAAUGGACAAGCAGAACAGAUCUGCCUGCAAAUUCGAGGUUGACGCUUGAAGCUGUCGGACCACAAGAGAGCAGACAAACUACUCUGGGCAAUCGAUGCAUAAUUUUCUGAUAGGCUCAGACUGUGGAAUGAUAAUAUUAGCUUAGGUUAAAUUAUUGCAUAGUACAACUAUAUAUCUAACCAGAGAAUGCAAAUAUAAUUGUGUACACAUUU